UACCGUAGAGGAAGAUUUUUUCAUAUAUGGGCAUUAAGAGAGUUAUAAAUCACCAAAAUAGACGCUAGUUGAGAUAUAAUGCCACAUUAAUAAAAGUUUGGUAAAUUUCUAGAUUUAAGGUUUUUUAAUGUGAAAUGCUUUCAAUUCAUAGAAGCUAUGCUGAUUUGAAUACUCCGAUUUUGUAUGUCCUGGAAAUAUAUAUUUGCUGACAUAAAACUAAUCCUACUGUGGAAACGGAAGCACUUGAAGGCGUGGAAGAUUCAGCAAAUCCGUCGCUUCCAGAUCUAGAGGUUAUUAUUAAAACUGAAAUCGAAGAUUCAAUAGAAGAAAAUAAUGCAUUUUAUUCUGAUGAUCCGCUUGUAGCUGAAGAAUCAUCUUUGAGAGGAAUCCUACGUGAGGACCUAAGAGAAUUCCAUAACUAUGCCUUCGUCAGAAUUGAGGAGGGAAAUAAAUUUGAAACAGGAGAAGAGUUUGUAAAUGAAGCGCUACUCAAUUUUGAUAGACUAGAAAAAACAGCUCAUCCGAAGAGUUCAAAAAAUAUUCAGAAUGACAAAAGGUCCAUGAUGGAGUUAAAAGAGGCUUUGUGCAUUUCUCAGUGUAAUAUUAAGGUAUGGAAAACGAAAUUUUCUUGUUUGCAGAAACGUUACAACUGCCUUUUACAGGAAUUUCAGAAUCUUGAAAGAGCAGUUAAAAAUUUCCGAACCAAAAAAAUUGUAUCGCACGAUGCAGCUGUCAAAUUGUUAGAAGCUAUAUCUAAUUCUCUAAAACGAAAAAAGCCUGAAGUCGAAGUCUAAAUCUAUGUAAAUAAAAAAGUUGUGAAA